GACUCCGCUUGUUAAGUUGGUUAAGGCGUGCGACUGUUAAUCGCAAGAUCGUGAGUUCAACCCCUCACUGGGGUCG
rnacentral:tRNA from 1 species